rnacentral:rRNA from 1 species
UACGUAGGGGGCAAGCGUUGUCCGGAAUUAUUGGGCGUAAAGAGCGUGUAGGCGGUCCGGUAAGUCAGCUGUGAAAGUCAAGGGCUCAACCCUUGAAAGCCGGUUGAUACUGUCGGGCUAGAGUCCGGAAGAGGCGAGUGGGAUUCCCGGUGUAGCGGUGAAAUGCGCAGAUAUCGGGAGGAACACCAAUGGCGAAGGCAGCUCGCUGGGACGGUACUGACGCUGAGACGCGAAAGCGUGGGGAGCAAACAGG